rnacentral:rRNA from 1 species
CCGACUGCUAUUUGGGUGAGAAUAAGCCAUGCGAGUUGAAUGGGAUACCUAAAGUUCCCAUAGCAAACUGCUCAGUAACACAUGAUCAACUUACCCUAUAGAGAAGAAUAACCUCGGGAAACUGAGGAUAAUGUUUCAUAAUUGAAUUGGCUUGGAAAAGUUUUUCAAUGAAAAGGAUAAAAAAAAUGGUUUUUAUCUGCUAUAGGAUAGGAUCGUGUUCGAUUAUGGUUGUUGGUGAGAUAAUGGCUCACCAAGCCGAUAAUCGAUAGGGGCCGUGAGAGCGGGAGCCCCGAGAUGGGUACUGAGACAACGACCCAGGCCUUACGAGGCGCAGCAGGCGCGGAACCUCCGCAAUACACGAAAGUGUGACGGGGUUACCCAAAGUGUUCAAUAGAACUGUGGUAGGUGAGUAAUGUCCCCUACUAGAAAGGAGAGGGCAAGGCUGGUGCCAGCCGCCGCGGUAAAACCAGCUCUUCAAGUGGUCGGGAUAAUUAUUGGGCUUAAAGUAUCCGUAGCCGGUUUAGUAAGUUCCUGGUAAAAUCGGGUAGCUUAACUAUCUGCAUGCUAAGAAUACUGCUAUACUAGAGGGCGGGAGAGGUCUGAGGUACUACAGGGGUAGGGGUGAAAUCUUAUAAUCCUUGUAGGACCACCAGUGGCGAAGGCGUCAGACUGGAACGCGCCUGACGGUGAGGGACGAAAGCCAGGGGAGCGAACCGGAUUAGAUACCCGGGUAGUCCUGGCCGUAAACGAUGCAUACUAGGUGAUGGUACGGCCAUGAGCCGUAUCAGUGCCGUAGGGAAACCGUUAAGUGUGCCGCCUGGGAAGUACGGUCGCAAGGCUAAAACUUAAAGGAAUU